UCGAAAGUAUCUUUCCUAAGAGAAACUGGAGCAGAUGUAUUCAGAAUGUAGGAGACUUUCUCCUAAGUGAGAAUAAUUUUUAAGUUCCUUAACCUGUCGACAUAGUUGGGUCCAAUCAAUUUGUUUGCAUCUAGGAUACCGCUAAGUGAAAGUGAGGAUGCCAUGAGUGAAGUUAAUCUAUAACAACAAGAACAUAAUAUAAGUGGACAACUCAUGCUGACAUGCACAACU
rnacentral:lncRNA from 1 species